rnacentral:rRNA from 11 species
GGGAGACACACGGCGGGUGCUAACGUCCGUCGUGAAAAGGGAAACAACCCAGACCGUCAGCUAAGGUCCCAAAGUUAUGGUUAAGUGGGAAACGAUGUGGGAAGGCUUAGACAGCUAGGAGGUUGGCUUAGAAGCAGCCAUCCUUGAAAGAGUGCGUAAUAGCUCACUGGUCAAGUGAUUCCGCGCCGAUAAUGUAGCGGGGCUUAAGUUAUCCGCCGAAGCUGUGGCAACCUGUGUGGUUGGGUAGGGGAGCGUCGUGUCAGUGGUGAAGCUGCCGGGUGACUGUGUGGUGGAGUUGAUGCGAGUGAGAAUGCAGGCAUGAGUAGCGUGUGACGGGUGGGAAUCCCGUCCGCCGAUUAUCCAAGGGUUCCAGGGUCAAGUUUGUCUGCCCUGGGUGAGUCGGGUCCUAAGGCGAGGCCGACAGGCGUAGUCGAUGGGUAACCAGUUGAUAUUCUGGUACCGGCUUGUCACCGUCCGUGUCGAGGUGUGUGAUGCUAAGCAUGUGAGCUUGUCUUGGGAGUGUUUUUGAUGCUUCUGGGGUGGGUGAGUGUGUGAACCGAUCAUGUAGUAGGCAAGCUGCGGAGGGACGCAGUGAGGUAGCUCAUCCCCGGUGAUGGUUGUCCGGGGCUAAGUGUGUGGACUGUCUGGUAGGUAAAUCCGCUGGGCGUG